CCUACGGGUGGCAGCAGUGGGGGAUAUUGCACAAUGGGGGGAACCCUGAUGCAGCGACGCCGCGUGGGUGAAGAAGCGCCUCGGCGCGUAAAGCCCUGUCAGCAGGGAAGAAAAGGACGGUACCUGAAGAAGAAGCCCCGGAUAACUACGUGCCAGCAGCCGCGGUAAUACGGAGGGGGCAAGCGUUAUCCGGAUUGACUGGGUGUAAAGGGGGCGCAGACGGCGAGGCAAGCCAGGAGUGAAAGCCCGGGGCCCCACCCCGGGACUGCUCUUGGAACUGCGUGGCUGGAGUGCAGGAGGGGCAGGCGGUCUUCCUGUUGUAGCGGUGAACUGCGUCGAUAUCAGGAGGACCACCGGUGGC
rnacentral:rRNA from 1 species